AAGUCUUCUUCGGUUCGUGUACUUUCUCCUCGUGCGUCUCCUCCCUCUGUUUCAGCAGUCGCAAGCCAUGGAGCAUCGCUAGGGUUUCCACUUGCAUUGGUGAAGCAGCAUGGAUGUCUUUGGCGAAGCCCUCGACGAUUAUGCCCAUGGAAUCGCGCAAAAUACUAGCAAUCGAGCUCAGAGGUUCUCCUUUCGCCCACGAACAAUCAACAUUCAGCUUCAGAUCUCUGCCUUCCAGUUCCUUGUUUUAACUGCUGAUUCCCCUACUAUCUUCUUCUCUGUGCUAAGUUGAUGAGGGGUUUUCUGCCCUUUUUUUACUUCGAGCAGGGCCAGCAACUGUCUCAGGUUUUCUGCUACCAACAAUCUGAAGAGUAGUUGACUGAAUGGGGGUUUCAGGUACAUACUCCUCUUCCUCUUGAGUAGAGAUGAUUUUGCCAUAGAAAGCUUCCCAAUGAGGACUCAUUUCCUGUACCUCCGCUUUGAGCUGAGGUCUAUGUUUCCCUGCCCUAUUUUCUGCCCAUUCUGUUUUCUCAUAUGAAAUUUCUUCACAAAACGAGGCAUAGUGCCCCAGUCUUCCAUAGGAAUAUAGUUUCUAAACUUGUGCGUACUUUCAAUCAAAGUCCCUCCCGCUUCAAAUCUAAUUAAUUGGAGUUGCAAGUCCGGUCGGAGGCAUCAUGAGCCCAAGUGGGAAAAACUUUUGUCACCAUGAUCGUGGACUAUCGACCAAUGCCAAACUCUAGGAUUCUUACUCUUGACCAGGCCAAGUUUGUUUGCACUCCCCGGAGGUAUGUCGACUUCUUUUCAGGGCACACCAAAGGAAAAAACCUCGUCAUUCUUUAACUGUACCUGCCUGCGAAGGUAAACCUUGUCUUUGGCCUGAAAAAGAGACUAUGGUCGCUGUUGCUCGGAUGCGCGAAUGUCUAGCGUAUGCAGAAAUUGCCCUGUACAUUAUGCAAAGUGAAGUGGUUUUUGGUACCGACCGAUGGGGUUUAACAGAACUCACAAUAACAGAGUGGUCUAGCAAAGAAAGGGACGGUUGUGUUGCCCAUUGUCCGAGGCUCUUCUUUUCAACCACAAUGACUAACCAAUCUGAACAUCCUCAUCCUUCUCGUCAAGUUCCAAUCCGGGUCCCUGAGCCGUCUUGCUUAUUUGCUCAUGUCUAUCCUCAGAGGCUCUAUUUUCCAAAUGGCCAUGAACAUUUUUCCGCAUUCACUUUUCAGUAAUCACUUCCGAAUCAAUCUCGACUGCAAGUUCCUUUACUACUUAGCUUGCUGGGACUUUCUACGAUGGGUUAUUGCCGGUGCUUCGACAACUUCAAAAUUAUCAUAUUUCACACAUCCUAUGCUAGCUUGGUGCCCAUCCUUCCUCUACUCAGCAAGACAUUGGGAUGGCAUACUUCAUUCCUAGCCGCUAUUCCAUUUGCAGCUUCUAACGGAUCAAUGCCCACUAUCAGUUUCACCAUUAAUCUUCUUCACGUCCUUCGUUUAGUUACUCUCGGUUUUUCAUUUAUCUUCCUUCUUGUCAGAUGCUCACUUGAGUUCAACUACGACGCAUUUUUCACUACAAUAUCUAGAGCGUAACGAGACAUGGCCUUUGAUAAGUUGCAGCUUUUUAGGAGAUUAAAUGGCCUCAGAUCUGCUUUUUUUUAUUUUUUUGGGCAAAAGCAUCGAACUGUGAACGCCUUUGCGAAUGCCUUCUUUCUCAUAUCUUCCUGUUUUUGAAAUGCCUUGGGAUGUUCCGCAUAUGGCUUAGGAAGUCUCGCAGGAGAUGCUCCGCAAAAGUGAGCGAGUCUCUUAGGUUGUUUAGGUGGCUUGAUACGAACUCACAACCUCUAAUUUGCUGUAUUGAUAUCCUCGCGGAUGUAGAAAAUUUAAUCAAUAAUGAAAAAUAGAUCCAUAUAUAAUUGUAAAACACCAAAAUCAAUAAAUACAGCGGAAUUAAAGCAUACCUAUUUGAGCCAUUGCUUCACUUGAAGAAAAGUAUAUCACUCUGAUAAUUAGGGAUCUAUCGGAAUGUCAGAUCUCAUCUCUAUGACCUAUUUCGAUAUAGCAGCUUUCAAUGGGAUUAAAGCAACUGAUAGGUAUAACCUACCAUUUUAUAGGCUAGAGAGGGGACCUAGCAAACCCUAAUCAACAGCGUGUCAACUGGGCCCUUCCCAUUACGGGCUUCAGUCAAACACAAUUGCCUACACUUUGCUGCUCAACUAAGCCCGUUAUCAAUAGAUAUCAAUACCCAAUUCAAUUAGAUCACUUUAGGGUUCAACAAAUAUUAGAAUAUCCAUUAACCCGAUUAUUUAAAAUAGAAAAUCAAUUAAUUAAUGUAAACCCAUAUUAUAGGAAAUUUCCAACAUUCUCCCACUUGCGCUACAUUAAUUAACUUAUUUUAUUUUGAAAAAGAUUUUAUAUUGAAAACGACACUAUCGGGUUAAUAACUGAAAAUUUUGUUUUAUGUGGCCACAAUUUUUAAAAAAUAAUAUUCCAAUUACGGCAUCUCAAAACCAAUCCAAUCCUAUAUAACCUCAGUAUAGGACUAUGGAAAUCAAUGUGUUAAGAAAAAAACCAUUACACAAGAUCUUCCAUAAUCACAUAUAAUAAGUAUUAUAUUUUCAUGGAUCAUGGGCCUAGUAGUGUAGUAAGAAAUAGUGCCAAUAUGUGAUCAAAAUAUACACUAUUUCUUAUCGGUCCUCAAUGCAAUUUCUCAACAACAUGAAACUGUAUUAACGCAAUUUCUAAACAACAUGAAAUUGCACAAUUAUGUCACAAUCUAACAUGAGAUCUCAUAAUCAGUGACAUCCAGUCAUCUUUAAACUAAAAUUUGUUUAAAGAUACUGUUUUAUACUUCCAUUUCUUAGUCAAUAGGAGAAAGGAUAACAAUAGAAUCAACUUCCAUAAUUAAUUUCGAAUUAGUUUGCAGAGAAGUAACAACUAUGUAAUAGCAUAAUAGAGGUUCCAAUGAGGUUCACUAAAAAAAAAAAAAAAAAAAAUUCCAAGAGCUAUAUCAUAAAUAGUGUAUCAUCCAACUAGCCAAGUUCAUCAAUCUGUAAGCAGUACCCAUGAUUACCAUUAAUGGAAUUCGUCUAAAUUUCAUUGAAAAAAAAACUGAUAUUGAAUCCGCCACAAACAAGGAUAUGAAAGCACACAUCAAUCAGUACACUAGCCGCUAGAUUCCAACAUAUGUGAAUCAUUAAACGCGAACCUACACGAGAAGCCGAAGACGUUCAAGCCGCUCAGCCCUCAAACCUGAAUUGUUCACGCGCCCUCCAGUCAAAGCAAAAGCUACUGCACAACGAGGCUCAAUCCCAUGAAUUCAGCCCAAAUCACACCAACACCAUCUAUUCCAGCAGAAGCAAAAUAGAGGGCCACGAUUCACCAAUGGAAACCCAUGACAGGUCCCACAUCAAGCACUCUUUCGUUCGUCAGAUCCAAAUGUUAACUUUCCAAAAUUAUUUAAGGUCCAGAUGAUUGUUUCCUCAAGCUAGACCACUUUUGCUAGGUUAAUAGCACCAGCCCCAUGAUGGGAGAAAACUUCUCCCACAAGCUAAAACAUAAGCACUUAACUAAGUACCUCCACAUGUUAAUUGGAACGGUAGCACUCUUUGUUUUAUUGUAUCUCAUCAAUCAGACUUCACUAGUCAGUCUAAUCCAUUAACCCUUUCUCGAAUUUCUGCAAGAAAGAUGAAGUAUCCAUGUACGCAAAAGCAUUAUUUGUCCCAGCAUACAAACUCGGCUAAUUUAACUAGGAGUAGACGUCCUAGACUAGCCAUGGUGGAGCACUCUUGUCUGCUAGGACAUUUGCAUGCUCGAGUUCACAAUUUUCCUUGCUAAUUAGUGGAAUAACAAACUUUU
rnacentral:lncRNA from 1 species